GUGCCCCUACGGGAGGCAGCAGUGAGGAAUAUUGGUCAAUGGGCGGGAGCCUGAACCAGCCACGCCGCGUGAGGGACGACGGUCCUAUGGAUUGUAAACCUCUUUUGUCGGGGAACAAAGGCGCCCACGGGUGGGCGGAUGAGUGUACCCGAAGAAAAAGCAUCGGCUAACUCCGUGCCAGCAGCCGCGGUAAUACGGAGGAUGCGAGCGUUAUCCGGAUUUAUUGGGUUUAAAGGGUGCGCAGGCGGAAGAUCAAGUCAGCGGUAAAAUUGAGAGGCUCAACCUCUUCGAGCCGUUGAAACUGG
rnacentral:rRNA from 1 species